UGUCGUUGUAUUUAGCCAGAUGGCCUG
rnacentral:sRNA from 1 species